CCUACGGGAGGCAGCAGUGGGGAAUAUUGGACAAUGGGCGAAAGCCUGAUCCAGCCAUGCCGCGUGUGUGAAGAAGGCCUUCGGGUUGUAAAGCACUUUUAGUGGGGAAGAAAGCCUUGGGGCUAAUACCCUCGAGGAAGGACAUCACCCACAGAAGAAGCACCGGCUAACUCCGUGCCAGCAGCCGCGGUAAUACGGAGGGUGCGAGCGUUAAUCGGAAUUACUGGGCGUAAAGCGCGCGUAGGCGGUCUGAUAAGCCGGUUGUGAAAGCCCCGGGCUCAACCUGGGAACGGCAUCCGGAACUGUCAGGCUAGAGUGCAGGAGAGGAAGGUAGAAUUCCCGGUGUAGCGGUGAAAUGCGUAGAGAUCGGGAGGAAUACCAGUGGCGAAGGCGGUCUUCUGGACUGACACUGACGCUGAGGUGCGAAAGCGUGGGUAGCAAACAGGAUUAGAUACCCGAGUAGUC
rnacentral:rRNA from 1 species